GACAGCAGUAGCCGCGGGAACACGAAGGGUGCAAGCGUUAAUCGGAAUUACUGGGCGUAAAGCGUGCGUAGGCGGUUUGUUAAGUCUGCUGUGAAAUCCCCGGGCUCAACCUGGGAAUGGCAGUGGAUACUGGCAAGCUAGAGUGUGUCAGAGGAUGGUGGAAUUCCCGGUGUAGCGGUGAAAUGCGUAGAGAUCGGGAGGAACAUCAGUGGCGAAGGCGGCCAUCUGGGACAACACUGACGCUGAGGCACGAAAGCGUGGGGAGCAAACAGGAUUAGAUACCCCCGUAGUCCCUGUCUCUUAUAC
rnacentral:rRNA from 1 species